CCUACGGGAGGCUGCAGUGGGGAAUAUUGGACAAUGGGCGAAAGCCUGAUCCAGCCAUGCCGCGUGUGUGAAGAAGGCCUUCGGGUUGUAAAGCACUUUCAGUGGGGAAGAAAGCCUUGGGGCUAAUACCCUCGAGGAAGGACAUCACCCACAGAAGAAGCACCGGCUAACUCCGUGCCAGCAGCCGCGGUAAUACGGAGGGGUGCGAGCGUUAAUCGGAAUUACUGGGCGUAAAGCGCGCGUAGGCGGUCUGAUAAGCCGGUUGUGAAAGCCCCGGGCUCAACCUGGGAACGGCAUCCGGAACUGGCAGGCUAGAGUGCAGGAGAGGAAGGUAGAAUUCCCGGUGUAGCGGUGAAAUGCGUAGAGAUCGGGAGGAAUACCAGUGGCGAAGGCGGCCUUCUGGACUGACACUGACGCUGAGGUGCGAAAGCGUGGGUAGCAAACAGGAUUAGAUACCCCUGUAGUC
rnacentral:rRNA from 1 species